rnacentral:rRNA from 1 species
UACGUAGGGGGCAAGCGUUGUCCGGAAUCAUUGGGCGUAAAGGGCGCGUAGGCGGUCGUGACAAGUCACUUGUGAAAUCUCCGGGCUUAACUCGGAAAGGUCAAGUGAUACUGUCGGACUAGAGUACAGAAGGGGCAACUGGAAUUCUCGGUGUAGCGGUGAAAUGCGUAGAUAUCAAGAGGAACACCUGAGGUGAAGACGGGUGCUGGGCUGACACUGACGCUGAGGCGCGAAGCCAGGGAGCAAACGGG